rnacentral:lncRNA from 1 species
UGCAGCAGCCCAGACCUGGGAGGAGUAGGCGGCGGGACCCAGGAGGCUUGGGGUGGCAUCAGGAAGCAGGAUGGGCCUGGCUACCUCCUAGAUUGAUUUUCUACACCUCCAGGCUUUCCCCUUUGCUUUCCCCUCCGUCGUGAAGAUAAUCAGGUGGGGAGAGAAGUCAGAGCUGGGACCUUCCAGUGAGAGGUCCAGGGAUGGAUCUGAUACCAGGAGGACAAUAUCACAAAGUGUUCUGCCAGUUUCAAUAACUGGAUUUAUGAGGAGAAAACGGCGUGAGGACGGUCUGGGAAGUGGUGACGUCGGAAGUCAGGAAGGCAGCUGGCAGUGUGUGCUCCUCCCUGGACGGCCCCUUCGUCAUCCAAAUUGGCAGGUGCUCCCGGAAGAGCGGUCAGGCUGUGAGAGAAACCGCUUCAUUCCCUGGAAUGUGGGGAAGAGAGUGGAGGUUUAAUGUGUAAUUUGCAGUCCUUAGAAUCCAUUAUGGGCAUGAAUAAGCCCAGAGAGGCUAUAGGCGGGAGAAUUAAACAUGAAUGCUCAUCGAGACUGAGGCACUGGAGACUGAGAAGAAGUUCAGUUGCCAACAUCUUUCACUUUGGGUAUUCACUCUGAAGUCACUUGGCCAAAGCCACCUGAGGUCAGUUGAUGAAAGGCCCUGGAAGGUAAUGUAAUGCCACAAAGAUUUCUCACAAUGGAAAAAUCAGGUUUGGCACCGGUGAGCUGUGAAUUCUUCUGAGGUGGUAAACCUGGACUCUCCACAGCUCUUUGAGAGCUGGAGGCUAAGAAAAUCUGAGAAUGGGGUUUAUGUCAGCCCUCCUUGCUGUGAAGGAACUUGGGCCUUUUGGCGUUGAGUGCACAGUGGAGUCAGAGGAGAGGAUGUGGUGGGGGCAGCGGCACACACAGUUGACUGCCAUGGAGAGGAGAACUGCCUUUGGAAGCAUCUGGAGGCAUUUGGUUGGAUUUAGUGGUGUGCCUGCAUUUAUUAUUAAUCAUGGUGACUCUGCUUUGUGUUUUUCACAGUGCAUUCUUGUAGAUCUGACUUGAUUUUCAUAAUAUAAAAUAUUUUCCACGACUUUAUUGAAUUUUAAUUUUGGCAGUGUUUGCCAGUGUUUGAACAACUGCUCAGCCUCAUGGGAGGGAUGGUUUUAUAAGCUUGUGGAGGAAGCUAAGUGUGUUUACAAGCCGUGGUAGCACAUUUAAGAGUCAGGCAUGGACUCCUCCAGUCCUGACGGGGGCGCUGUGGGGCAAUGGUGGGCUGAAUGUGGCCCAGUCAUAGUCCCACGUGAGACCACAGUAGAUGCCAUUGUGGAAGCUUAGCUCCCACUCCACCUUGGAGGUGUCAAGGCCUUGUUUUUUGUUCCAGGAUCUAUGUGUAAUUAGAGCAGGAGACCCUUUUACUUGAGAACUGUUGUCUUUGCUGUGUGAUCUUUGGUAGGUUAUUUAAGCUCUCCAGUCCUUAGUUCUCAUUUGUGAGAUGAGAUAAUAAUAGCAUCGAUCUCAGGGAAUUGUGUGAAGGUUAAUUGAGUUAAUACAUUUUUAAAAAGAGAGAACACUCAAUGGGUAUUAACUAUUAUGACGACAAGAGUAUUAAUGACCACUCAUAUUGGACUUCAUAGAUGGAGGAAGCCCAGGCUGGUUGGAGAGCUUGCCUGUCUCCCAGCAAGGUUUUAACAAAUCUAACAAAUCCCCAUUCUCUACCUGGGUGGCCUUGCCAGGGACGUGGUGACAAGCAUAAAGGGGAGGAGCUAUGGUUCUUCAGGAAGGUGCUGAUGGAAGGAUAACCAGUACUGUGCUUUUAUGAAAUAGCAAGCCAAAAUGGGGAACUUGACCUAGAGAAUUUGAUUAACCUCUUCAACUACAUCAAAGGCAGCAGAGAAGCAACUUCUCUCGUGGGAUGCUAAGAACUGAAAGAGUGUGUGCUGCCCUCUAACUCUUGGCCCUGGCACUUACCAGCUGUAUAACCAGGGCCAGUUACUUAAUCUCUCUGCACCUUAGUUUCCUCAUCUGUCAAUGGGAAUGAUACUAUUUUAUAGGGUUGUUGCAGUUACUAAAUCAGGUGAUAUCUGUAGAAUGCCUAGCAAGUUGUUAAAUUCUUGGAGCCAGGUGAAGGCUCAGUAAAAGCCAAUCAUUAUGCUCAUUAUUAUGUUUAUUACAAAUGCUCUUAUUACAAGCUACCUUACAGCUUAUGAUUUACAACUGAGGAAACAGGUUAUUUCAUGACAGGACUUGUCCUGUGAUAGUUCUCUUCCUCACCAUGAAAGAUGUCAACAGCACUCAUCGGGAUUCCCCCACCUUGGCUGGACCUAUCUUCUGGCCUUGGUGGUUGCCCAUGUGAAGAUUGGGAGAAGGUGAUGCCCUCCUGGUUGCACAAGGGCUGGGUCUAAGUCAUCCGGUCUCUGUGUGUAUCUACAGCCCUAGGAAUGGGGAAUAGCUCCUGGCUCCUAUUGCAUGAUCAGGGAUUUUGAGGAUAUUUGAGGUGUCCAGACUCAAACCUUCCUUGUCAUUACCUCCUUAAUAGGUUUUUCCCUCUACCUAACAAUUCUUCUUUCUCAGCUUCUCUUGAACGUGUCCCUCUUUUCCAUGGCCUCAGUUGCCUCUCACUCCCUGCCUACAGACUCCUCUGGCUUUGCCCUCUUCUGUACCCUCCCUGGAAUUGUUUUUGCCUCUCCAGCCCCGGCUCCCCAUUCCUCGGAUGACAGCACCAGACUUUCCUAUGGGGAUGGAUACAUUAGGAAUGCGUUCAGCUGUAAAUGAUAAGAAAGCUGAUGCAGAGUGGCUGCAACGUAAAGAUUUAUUUCAUUCACAUAGCACUAAUUCUGAAGGUAGGUGGUUGCCUGCUUUGAUUCAGCGUUUCUCUCCUCAUGCUUGCAGCUCUAAGCAUCACAUCUGCACUCAAGGCAGGAUGAAGGAAGGGAAGG